GGUCAGUUUGAUCAAGAUGGGAAUACCCUAAGGCCCUUAGUCUCUUAUGUCCAAUACAAAAUAUCAGUUCCCCUGAGAAAGCGUUUUUCCUGUUUGGGUCCAAGGAUCACCUGCAUCAAUAUCAGCUGAAUGCAUCAGCUACUCAUGUGAAUAUUGGCCCUGCUACACCUCAGGAAGUAGAAUUCGAUGACUGAACACGACAUUUUCAGAGAGCACAGGAGGUGAGUCUGCUAGGCUGGAAUUCCCACUGCAAUGAUGAGUGAUGAUUGUUACUAUGACUGGGCUGAGGCCAUGCUGCACCCUGGAACGAUCUCUUAUGGUUUCAGAGGCUUGCCGAAUAUCAGGUGCCGGUGAGCAGAUGUGUCGCACUGUGGUCUGGACAACACAUCUGGUUCAGGCAACAAGAAAGCCUACAUUUCCUCCUCUUCUAGAAACAGCAUUCUGGUUUUCUCCAGGACCAAGGGUCAAUCAAUGUGCCUGCCCAGGAGUCACUAGCCAAGGAAGAGACACAUUCGAGUCAGAUAAGCUGAUGCUCUGGACCAGGACUUGGAAUUAGGAGUGCCGCAGGUCAAGGAAGGAAAGAGAAUUCCCAGGGCUUUUCCAGGACAGAAGAACGACUGGAUUGGCUGAGUGAGUUACACACCCAACCUUGGGUGAGGCCAUCUGUGUUCAUGCUGAGUGCCACAUUCACUUCUCCUCUCCCAUGGAUUUUUACUGAAUAAAUAAUGCCUUGGGGAUACUGUCCUUACCAGAGUCCUUUCAGCAAAAUGACUUCUCCGGCAUUUCAGGAGGAAGUGUGGACACUGUUUCCUCUGAUACCUCUGCGAUAAAGACAGCAUAAAGAAAUCAACAGGUAUCACACUGUUGGAUAUAUAUGCAUAAAUCUAGGUGUUUUGCAGUCAUCCUCAGCCUUGAAAGUGGAGUGAGAAUGGACGUCAUCUCUCUUACAUGCUUGCAUUUAACAUUUCCCAAAAAUUAAUGAGUCAUGCAAACAGAAAAUUUUUUUCUAAGGCAGAAUGAAAGUGGAAGAUAGGAAAUGUUUUCAUGCUGGCAUUCUGAUUUAUUGUCGAUGAGGAAAUAAUUCUGGGUAAACUCACUGUUUUCAGACAAUAUUGUAUACAGAAAGGAAUUAACCAAAUAUGGACUUAAAAUAGGCACCCAGUGGCUCACGCCUGUAAUCCCAGCACUUUGGGAGGCAGAGGCGGGCGGAUCACGAGCUCAGGAGAUCGAGGCCCUCCUGGCUAACAUGGUGAAACCCCGUCUCUACUAAAAAUACAAAAAAUUAGCCGGGCGUGGUGGCAGGCGCUUGUAGUCCCAACUACUCGGGAGGCCGAGGCAGGAGAAUGGCUUGAACCCGGGAAGCGGAGCUUGCAGUGAGCCGAGAUCGCGCCACUGCACUCCAGCCUGGGCGACAGAGUGAGACUCCGUCUCAAAAAAAAAAAAAAUAGGUACCCAGAACAACUGUAAGUACCUCAGUUAUGUAGACAUGACAUAACUGAGCCCCAUGACAGCUGGAAGCCAUACAGCAGCAGGAAGUAUAUAUAAUUGAAAUUUAACCUCGCCGUUCUAUAUGGUUUGGAUUCUUGUCCCCUCCAAGUCUCAUGUUGAACACGAUCCCCAGGGUUGAAGGUGGGACCCAGUGGGAGGUGUUUGUGUCAUGGGGAAGGAUCUCUUAUGAAUGGUUUGGUCCCCUCCCCGUGAUUAUGGGUUCAUGAGAGAGCUGGUUGUUUAAAGGGCCUGGCGCCUCUCCCUCUCUUGCUCCCUCUCUUGCCAUGUGUUGCACUGGCUCUCCCUUCGCCCUCUGCCAUGAUUGUAAACUUCCCAAGCCCUCAUAGAAGCUGAGCAGAUGGCGAUGCUGUGGUUGUAUAGCCUGCAGAGCUGUGAGCAAAUGAACCUCUUUUCUUUAUAAAUGACCCAGUCUCGGGUAUGCCUUUAGAGCAAUGCAAAACUGACUCACACACCAUUAUUCUCUCCCAAUAUCCUUUUUGUUUUUCCUCUUGAUUUAGACCUAAAGGUUUCCUGGCCCCUAAAACUGUCUGACUAGUAGAUUUCUAGACUGGAAGAAAGCAUUUCAAGCUAAUUCUCUAUGAAAAGUAACUCUGGAAUCUCUACCUCCCUUCUGUUUCUAACACCCAUUCUGUAUACAUGAGUACUAUGGUCAGGUCCCUGUCAUUCCAUUUCUUUGGAGACUAUCCUGAGUUUCUACAGGGAAAUUUGAAAUACCUUAUAUGGAUGUAUUUCAGAGCCUACAUCUGCCACCUGAUUAACGCCUGCUCUGCAUCUGCCACCUGAUUAACAGUGAGUUUCAUCAGGAACACACUUGCCUUACUAGUAAGAGAAUGUGCUGUAAGGGGGGCAGGUUAAAAGGUCUCUCUUGCUCUUUUACUGUUUUGAGUUAUUUCAUUGUACGUUCACUUUAAUUUAAGCUUUCCUCUUCCUAGGAAAAUUACUAUCAAUUUCUACAGUUCUUGAGAAACCACUCCCAAGGGUGGGGGAAAAAGCUUUCUUCCUUCCUAAGUGCAAUUUACUUUCAAGUACUUUAUAGGUCGGUAGGCUUGACACUCAAUCUGCAAUUUGUCUUUUUCACAAAUGUUAAUUUCAAGUAUUUGCAAAAGUUGUGUAUUUUGGGAAGCACUCAUACAUUUUUAAAGCAGCCGGCAACAACAAAAGGAAAUCACCUGUGUCUGUAAAUAUAGCUGCUGUUGCUGUCACAGAUUCAGUAACAAAAAGAAGAAAAACAAUUCCUUUUCAUCCCUGCCAGAAGAUUUUCGAGUCUUGAGCAUUUUUUAAGGAACAGUAUAAUGAGUUACAAUUGCAGUCCUUGUGCCCAAACGUUAAGUCUCCGUGGCACCUGGAAAUGAAGGCACUGCAGAAACAAUCCUCCAAAACUAAGGAGAAAUCAGCUUCACAUUUUUCCCAAAAAAGAGCUCUGCUGUUUCUUUCUUUCACUCGCAAGAGACGGAGAGGCAGAAUGGAUUGAAGAGAGAAGACUAGCUAAUUUGGGAGAACCCAAAGAUCCCAGGUAGCAUGUCCUUUGCUAUAGUUAAAAUACAAGAAGCAGAGCUGUGAGCUCACUAAAGUGUUCGCCUCCAGCCUUGAAUUUGCAAAGGCACUAAAAAGAGAAGUUACUAUUUUACUGCCAUUGAUUCAGUGCCGUGAUGAGAUUCCGGGUUAUUGCCGGAUUUAUUAUACAGGGGUAAACUCAACUAGUAGCUAAAUUUAGAGAACUCUCUUGCUCUAAUUUAGCAUUUAUGACCUGUCACAAGUGUACUUUGUUCAUCUUUUAAUGCAUCACCCAGAAAUAUAACUUCUCAUUAAAAAAUUUAUUAAUCUCACUACAUGGUAAUAUAGCCGAAACAGUUAGAAUAAAUAUGAAGUAUGCAUAAAAUGCUGGUGAGCUGUCGCCAAUUAAACAGCUGAAGCAUUAAUAUUGUUUUCCAUGUUAACUGUGUCUGUAAUUAGGUAGGUUUGGGGAGUCUGCUCUUAAGGCUUUCUACCUUUUCUUCCCUUAGUAAUCUGAUGUUCUAAAUUCACAAGUACUUAGACUUUGAUAAAAUCAAUAUUCCUACAGAUGAAGAGUCAGUUUACAGGAUGAGGGAGGAGGACUCUUCAAGUGGCCAUCACAGGAGGUGAUGCCCUUGUUCCCUCGUCAAGACCUAUAUAAGUAACUGGCAAAAAUAAAUAAAUUGAAACAAAGCAAGUGUUCAAUGGUAAGUAUACAUAAAUACUAUGGAGCUAUUAAAAUGAAUAUAUAAAUUAAAUCUCUACCUGUUAACUGGAAUUUUUUUUUUCUUUUUUUUUUUUCUUUUGACAGAGUCUCACUGCUAUCACUGAGGCUGAACAGCAGUGGCUUAGUCUAAGCUCACUGCAACCUCAGCUUCCCAGGCUCAGGUGAUUCUCCUACCUCAGCCUCCCAAGUAGCUGUGACUACAGGUGCAUGCCACCACACCUAGCUAAUUUUUUGUAUUUUUUUGUAGAGAUGGGAGACUCAGCAUGUUUUCCUGGCUGAUCUCAAAAAUCUGGGCUCAAGCAAUCCUCCCGCCUUGGCCUCCCAAAGUGCUGGGGUUACAGGUCUAAGCCACUGCACCCAGCGAACCUGAAGAAUUUUAAAGAAAUUUUUAUUUAGCAAGAAAAGCAACAUGGAUGUAAUACACUGCAUUCUAGUAAAACGUUGGUCCUCACCCCGACCUGCCUUCAUACAUUUGGAUGUCAGCAUGGGCGUGUGGAGCAGCAGUCAAGGACAAAUGUUUCAGGUUUGAGCUGGCCAAAAGCUGAGUGAAGGGAGGAAGGAACAAAGAUAAGCAACACAGAAAGAAUAAAGCCACUAAAACAGGAAAACUUUCAUGACGCAGUACCACUUGUGUAAAAUUGCGCAUGUGUGCACAUACACAUAGAUGUGUGCAGACAUAUUUGCCAAAAUAGUCACUAUAGUUAUCUUAAGGUGAUACAUAUUUAGGCACUGUUUCUUUCUUUUGAUAUUUUUCUGUAUUUUUUUUAAAUCAGCUGC
rnacentral:lncRNA from 10 species